UCCCUACACACAGGGAACGGCGCAUUCCUUGCGUCUUCAACCUAAGAACAACAGAAGGGAACAAAAACAGGCCCCCUUUUGUUACACCCACCAAAAAGAAAACGACGAACCCCUACCAUUUUAGGCUUCUUCUUCACUUUCAUCUAGAGAUGAACAUCCCCAUUUUUCAAAACCUCAGUCAACCAUCAACCUGAAAGCAAAAAUCAGACUCUCAUUUUCAUUUCUUGGCUAAGAGCUUUCUCCGACAAAAGAUUUUGUUCUACCAGGUACAAAAUAAAUCAGACGCCAUGGAAAUCCAGAUCUAAAAAAAGUUAUUCGAAUUUCUACUCUUUCCUUCAAUUUUCUGGAAUUUGUGCUACUGAUCUACUGAACUUCUUCUUUGUUCUUUUGGUCUUUAUUUGACAUUUAAGCAAUAAGUGAUUUCCAGGCCCAAUGCGAAACCCAUCCAAACCUGCCCAAAUCUCAGCCCAAACUCGUACCCUAACCUGGUCUGCCCCACCCUAAAGCCAAAACGACGUCGUUUCAUCAGGCUUGAUCUGAGUCGUUGAUAGUUCCCAAUCCAACGGACAAGAACUAGUUUCCAAAACCCUACCCGCCGCCAUAUUUUCCACCACACCCACCGGCGGCGCCGACCCCUUUUCCCACCAAAUCAACACUAAAUGACCACCAUGACCUCCUCAUCCCAUAUACCCAACCCACUACCCUCGGAUCCUAAUGAGACUCUUCGAAUAUUAAAUCACAAGUUGAGCCUUAAAAGUCAAAAUCGAGAUUCUGCGGACGAUGUUGGUCCAAAAUGAUUUUAUUCACUUGUUCUCUAUGAGAACAUGCGAUUAAUAUCAGAUUGGACCAGGAAUCCAAAGAGUUGAAGAUUUGAGUUGCCUUUUUCUUGGUCCGAGUUGGAGAAGGUACAUGUCCUGAAACUCAUAUAACUUGAUGCUCAAGUUGAAGAAAAAUGGAAAUGGGAAUUUGAAGCAAUCACAUCAUUGUUUUGUUCAUAACUUAGUCUUAUUCUCCUUUCUUCUUCCUUGUCUCUGAAGCGUUGUUACUGAUUUCAUGAAAAUCUUUAGACGUUGUAGAAUAGUUUAAUUUCGCUUUCAUCAUAGUUAUUCUUUUGUUUAUGUUUUAGGUCUGGUUUGUAAUAUUAGUAAGCUGUGAUGUGAAUCAUGAUUCUCUAAUUAAGGUUUUCUAGGAUUUUUAGCUUCUGAAGUGUAAAUGAAUAACAAUACGCAUGUGGCUAACUUAUAAUGACCUGGGAAUGGGGUUUCAGUCAAUUUCAA